CUCAACAAAUUCUCCAGCUGCCAUGCAAGCAUGAAAUCCUGUGCCGUCCAUCAGGUCUCCUACCAAAUCAGUCCCGCAUCAAGGCCCUGCGAUCAUUUCCUUCUCGGCCAUCUGCCCAGCCAAUCAUCAACAUCCCAAAUAAAUCCACUCCGUCCGUAUCGUCAACGAGUCCUCCUAGCAUCCCACGGAUCACACCGUCAUCACAGCCGUCCAUCUCGUGAUCAGAUCAAGCUCCCACACAUGUGAAGCAUCUGCGCGUCCCCACCUUCCUUCACAGCCGUGGCAUCCAUCCCAGCGAUCCCGUCUUCAACGCCAUUAUCCCGCGGUCCGUGCGAUCACAGGAGACUCCAGCUCCUCCCUGCUUCGUCCGCAUCACAACGUCCACGAUACUCAACCUUCAUCUCGUGAUAAGGAUCCAGCGUCUCAGCCUUCCAACAGAGCCGUGUCCGAGUCCGCCUCCUUUGAAGCCGGUGAUGCACCCCAAGAUUGCUCGCUCCCAGCGCCCUCUUCCGUGAUCAACGUCCCUGUGAUCUCAGCCUCCACUCCGAAGCCAUGAUCUCAGCCUGUGAAGCAGCCCAAGAUCCCGUCCGUAUUCAUCUUCCUUCCGAUUUCAAGCCGUAAUCCCAGCUCCAGCCAGGAUCCAAGCCGCAGAUCCCUCCUUCCACUUCAUCAACGCCUCCUCAUCGCGUCCGGCCGGCCGUGAUUCUCCCAGAAUCCCAGCGUCUCCAAGGUCUAUAAGAAGAGGGGAAGAAGGCAGGAAGAGGGGAGAGCUCGGAGGGUGGGAGCUAGGGGGGAGGCGGGGAGCUCUCGGCGAGUGGCCGGCGGGUCCAAGGGUGGUGGCCGGCGGGUCCAAAGAAAAGAGAAGGAAAACAGAGCAUUGCUCUGUUCUUGGGGUGAAGAAAGGAAUAAAAAAAUUAUAUCUUAUGUUCAGUUCUACCGUGGGAGAGAAAGGGAGAGAAAGGGAGAAAAAAUGAAAUUCUCUUUUCUUUUUUUUAUUUUAUUUGCAAAAGAAAUAAGCUUUAGGCUUCAUCUUCAAUUUUUCUUUACUUUUUGUAAUCAUUCCUUUUUAUGAAAUCAAUCAAUUUUCUUUCAUGCAUUCCAUGGUCUAGGUUCAGUUUAAUUUCUAUUUUUUUAUGCAAUCUUUUAAUUUUUCUUUUAUGCAAUACAUGUCUAAGUAUUAAUUUAAUAUUUUACAAUUUAUUAUAUGCAUUCUAGAAUUCUUAAUUUUAAGAUAACCUUGGAAUGAACCUUUGCAGUUGGAUUGACGAUUUUAAUUUAUAUUCUGUCUUUAGAAAUCAACUUCUACUCUACAUCAAAUUUCAAUUGCAAGUUUUCUUUCUUUCCUUU
rnacentral:lncRNA from 1 species